rnacentral:rRNA from 1 species
UACGGAGGGUGCAAGCGGUAUCCGGACUCACUGGGUUAAAAGGGUGCGUAGGCGGCUUGAUAAGUCAGGGGUGAAAGCCCGCAGCUUAACUGCGGAACUGCCUUUGAUACUGUCGAGCUUGAAAGAGGUUGAGGUCAGCGGAACGUGACAUGUAGCGGUGAAAUGCAUAGAUAUGUCACAGAACACCGAUUGCGAAGGCAGCUGGCUGGACCUACUUUGACGCUGAGGCACGAAAGCGUGGGGAGCGAACAGG